GUUUAUGGUGAAAGAUCCCCGAAGGGAGACCCUCGCUCAAGUCUCGGGAAGUUGUGGACCCCAGACACACGAGAGACC
rnacentral:pre_miRNA from 14 species